UACAGAGGUCCCAAGCGUUGUUCGGAUUCACUGGGCGUAAAGGGUGCGUAGGUGGCGAGGUAAGUCGGAUGUGAAAGCUCGGAGCUCAACUCCGAAAUUGCAUUGGAAACUACCUUGCUCGAGGGUUGGAGGGGGGACUGGAAUACUUGGUGUAGCAGUGAAAUGCGUAGAUAUCAAGUGGAACACCAGUGGCGAAGGCGAGUCCCUGGACAACUCCUGACACUGAGGCACGAAAGCUAGGGGAGCAAACAGG
rnacentral:rRNA from 1 species